CUAAAGACGAGUUCUUCUUUCACCCGCCAGCAGUGGAUCAAAAAGAAAAACAUUACAAUGCCAAGACACCAAAAAAGAUACUUGGCAAUGGAAACUUUACAAGGAUCAGAAGUCCUAAGCAUGCAAAAAAUGACUUAAUUUGCUCAUACCUUCCAAGAUAAAGAGUGUCACCAAGCAAAGAAACCCCCAUCACAGAGGCAAUGAUCAUGCCAAGUGGCUUAAUCAUGGAGAGGUAGAGAGGCCCUUUGGUCUUGCACACCCAUGUGUGAGUCACACUCCUUAUAGAUACCACGAAAAAUGCCUAUAAAGGAUCAAUCGCCCAUGAUGUUAUCAAGCACAAAUUUACUAGUCAGAAGUGCUUUUAGCUUUUAUAUUUCAAACAGUUGCAUUCUCUGUACUUGGUGCUUACCGAGUAAACUAUGGUCAUCAACUCUAUGUCAGGCUUCAACUUCCAAGCAUUCACGUCUUUCUCCACUAUCAGAGCCACAAUGGUGGACUGUAUUGUCACGACGACACAAGCUAAGAGUGUCAACAUGAGCUCUGCUGGAUAAUCCUUCACUAUCCAUGUCUGCAGAUUGUGAUUGAAACUGGUCACUGUAUGCUCAAUGGUUUGGAGAGAUUGAGGGACUUUGUAAUGCCCUUUGUGUGUGUUGAACGAUCAAUUAGAUGGUAUAUUACAUGGACUGUCCUUGUACUUGGACAAUGUUGGUUUUUGAGUCAUGACUUUGGAAAUAGCUCUGAUCCCAUCAGAUUCAUUGGACCCAAUUUUCAUCCACAUCAUUCACAAUUAAGCAUCGCCAUGUCAAUGUUAUUUUGGUGAUGCUGGUAUACAUGGAACUUAUCAUAUUCGUCUAGUCAAAAUACAUGAAGGAUCAACUAAUUUACACGCUUUGAUGGACAUACCUGCACAACUAGCAAAAGUGAGACCAAGAAGGCAGCACAGGCGAGAAGAAAGCCACCAAAAAUCCAGCUUGAUUGCAGCUGAAGAGGGAGCUCUUGAGGCAUCGAUGGUGAACCAUUUGUGAGCGGGAGGCCUUUGUAGAGUGUAACAGUGAGAGCACCAGCGAUGCAUACUAUUGUACCCACUAAUUUAGCCAUGCUGCUUUGCACUCUCAAGUCAAUUUUUUCCAUCCUGCAUCAUUAACCAUUUGUUUCAUGUCUUGGUAAGGGCGAGUUAAAUUCGUUUCUUCUUGGAAUCACAAUCCACUCUCUUGUUUGAAUUA